rnacentral:rRNA from 1 species
GAUCCUGGCUCAGGACGAACGCUGGCGGCGUGCUUAACACAUGCAAGUCGAACGAAGAGCGAUGGAAGCUUGCUUCUAUCAAUCUUAGUGGCGAACGGGUGAGUAACGCGUAAUCAACCUGCCCUUCAGAGGGGGGACAACAGUUGGAAACGACUGCUAAUACCGCAUACGAUCUGACCUCGGCAUCGAGGAUAGAUGAAAGGUGGCCUCUACAUGUAAGCUAUCACUGAAGG